UACAGAGGUCUCAAGCGUUGUUCGGAAUUACUGGGCGUAAAGGGCGCGUAGGCGGCCUUCUAAGUCAUACGUGAAAUCCCUCGGCUUAACCGGGGAACUGCGUCUGAUACUGGAUGGCUUGAGAUUGGGAGAGGGAUGCGGAAUUCCAGGUGUAGCGGUGAAAUGCGUAGAUAUCUGGAGGAACACCGGUGGCGAAGGCGGCAUCCUGGACCAACACUGACGCUGAGGAGCGAAAGCCAGGGGAGCAAACGGG
rnacentral:rRNA from 1 species